GGGGACGAAGGCUCAGGGGUAGAGCAUCUGCUUGGAAUGCAGAAGGUCCCAGUUUCCAUUCCCAGCAUCUCCA
rnacentral:tRNA from 1 species